AGAGUUUGAUCCUGGCUCAGGACGAACGCUGGCGGCGCGCCUAACACAUGCAAGUCGAACGGAGCUGAGAGGAGCUUGCUUUUCUUAGCUUAGUGGCGAACGGGUGAGUAACGCGUGAGUAACCUGCCCUGGAGUGGGGGACAACAGUUGGAAACGACUGCUAAUACCGCAUAAGCCCACGGAUCCGCAUGGAUCUGCGGGAAAAGGAUUUAUUCGCUUCAGGAUGGACUCGCGUCCAAUUAGCUAGUUGGUGAGGUAACGGCCCACCAAGGCGACGAUUGGUAGCCGGACUGAGAGGUUGAACGGCCACAUUAGGACUGAGACACGGCCCAGACUCCUACGGGAGGCAGCAGUGGGGGAUAUUGCACAAUGGGGGAAACCCUGAUGCAGCGACGCCGCGUGGAGGAAGAAGGUUUUCGGAUUGUAAACUCCUGUCGUUAGGGACGAUAAUGACGGUACCUAACAAGAAAGCACCGGCUAACUACGUGCCAGCAGCCGCGGUAAAACGUAGGGUGCAAGCGUUGUCCGGAAUUACUGGGUGUAAAGGGAGCGCAGGCGGACCGGCAAGUUGGAAGUGAAAACUAUGGGCUCAACCCAUAAAUUGCUUUCAAAACUGCUGGCCUUGAGUAGUGCGGAGGUAGGUGGAAUUCCCGGUGUAGCGGUGGAAUGCGUAGAUAUCGGGAGGAACACCAGUGGCGAAGGCGACCUACUGGGCACCAACUGACGCUGAGGCUCGAAAGCAUGGGUAGCAAACAGGAUUAGAUACCCUGGUAGUCCAUGCCGUAAACGAUGAUUACUAGGUGUUGGAGGAUUGACCCCUUCAGUGCCGCAGUUAACACAAUAGGUAAUCCACCUGGGGAGUACGACCGCAAGGUUGAAACUCAAAGGAAUUGACGGGGGCCCGCACAAGCAGUGGAGUAUGUGGUUUAAUUCGAAGCAACGCGAAGAACCUUACCAGGUCUUGACAUCCGAUGCAUAGCUUAGAGAUAAGUGAAGUCCUUCGGGACAUCGAGACAGGUGGUGCAUGGUUGUCGUCAGCUCGUGUCGUGAGAUGUUGGGUUAAGUCCCGCAACGAGCGCAACCCUUAUUGCCAGUUACUACGAAAGAGGACUCUGGCGAGACUGCCGUUGACAAAACGGAGGAAGGUGGGGAUGACGUCAAAUCAUCAUGCCCCUUAUGUCCUGGGCUACACACGUACUACAAUGGGAUGGACAGAGAGCAGCGAAGCCGCGAGGCCAAGCGAACCCCAUAAACCAUCUCCCAGUUCGGAUUGCAGGCUGCAACCCGCCUGCAUGAAGUUGGAAUCGCUAGUAAUCGCAGGUCAGCAUACUGCGGUGAAUACGUUCCCGGGCCUUGUACACACCGCCCGUCACACCACGGAAGUCAUUCACACCCGAAGCCGGCAGGCUAACCUUUUGGAGGCAGCCGUCUAAGGUGGGGGCGAUGACUGGGGUGAAGUCGUAACAAGGUA
rnacentral:rRNA from 1 species